rnacentral:rRNA from 1 species
GUAGGUGGCAAGCGUUGUCCGGAAUUAUUGGGCGUAAAGCGCGCGCAGGCGGUUCUUUAAGUCUGAUGUGAAAGCCCACGGCUCAACCGUGGAGGGUCAUUGGAAACUGGAGAACUUGAGUACGGAAGAGGAAAGCGGAAUUCCACGUGUAGCGGUGAAAUGCGUAGAGAUGUGGAGGAACACCAGUGGCGAAGGCGGCUUUCUGGUCUGUAACUGACGCUGAGGCGCGAAAGCGUGGGGAGCAAACAGGAUUAGAUACCCUGGUAGUCCACGCCGUAAACGAUGAGUGCUAAGUGUUAGGGGGUUUCCCGCCCCCUUAGUGCUGCAGCUAACGCAUUAAGCACUCCGCCUGGGGAGUACGGCCGCAAGGCUG